UGAACCUGCGGAAGGAUCAUUAAAGAAAUAAUCUCGAGGGCCGAUGGAAAGGAGAGAGGGUUGUAGCUGGCGUAAGCACGUGCACGCCCUCUUUCUCGACCUGGGUCCUUAUGGGCGCGGGGCGACCCGCGUCUUCAUAAGCCCCUUCGUGUAGAAAGUCUAUGAAUGUUUUUAUUAUCAUCGACUCGCGACUUCUAGGAGACGCGAUUCUUUGAGACAAAAGUUAUUACAACUUUCAGCAAUGGAUCUCUUGGCUCUCGCAUCGAUGAAGAACGCAGCGAAUCGCGAUAUGUAAUGUGAAUUGCAGAUCUACAGUGAAUCAUCGAAUCUUUGAACGCACCUUGCGCUUAUCGGUGUUCCGAUGAGCAUGCCUGUUUGAGCGUCAUUAAAUUCUCAACCCCUCUCGAUUUGCUUCGAGAGGGUGCUUGGAUAGUGGAGGCUGCCGGAGACCUGUUUUUUCAGGACUCGGGCUCCUCUGAAAUGUAUUGGCUUGCGGUCGACUUUCGACUGUGCAUGACAAGGCCUUUGGCGUGAUAAUGAUCGCCGCUCGCCGAAGUGCACGAACGAAUGGUCUCGUGCCCCUAAUCAGUCGAUGUCUUUUCGAAGGCGUCUUCCUUAUUGACGUUUGACCUCAAAUCAGGUAGGACUACCCGCUGAACUUAAGCAUAUCAUA
rnacentral:rRNA from 1 species